rnacentral:rRNA from 1 species
CAGUAGUCACGAGUUUGAUCAUGGCUCAGAACGAACGCUGGCGGCAUGCCUAACACAUGCAAGUCGAACGAGACCUUCGGGUCUAGUGGCGCACGGGUGCGUAACGCGUGGGAAUCUGCCCUUGGGUUCGGAAUAACUUCGGGAAACUGAAGCUAAUACCGGAUGAUGACGUAAGUCCAAAGAUUUAUCGCCCAAGGAUGAGCCCGCGUAGGAUUAGCUAGUUGGUGAGGUAAAGGCUCACCAAGGCGACGAUCCUUAGCUGGUCUGAGAGGAUGAUCAGCCACACUGGGACUGAGACACGGCCCAGACUCCUACGGGAGGCAGCAGUGGGGAAUAUUGGACAAUGGGCGAAAGCCUGAUCCAGCAAUGCCGCGUGAAUGAUGAAGGCCUUAGGGUUGUAAAGCUCUUUUACCCGGGAUGAUAAUGACAGUACCGGGAGAAUAAGCUCCGGCUAACUCCGUG